UGGCUCAGGACCGAACGCUGGCGGCGUGCCUAAUACAUGCAAGUAGAACGCUGAAGAGAGGAGCUUGCUCUUCUUGGAUGAGUUGCGAACGGGUGAGUAACGCGUAGGUAACCUGCCUUGUAGCGGGGGAUAACUAUUGGAAACGAUAGCUAAUACCGCAUAACAAUGGAUGACACAUGUCAUUUAUUUGAAAGGGGCAAUUGCUCCACUACAAGAUGGACCUGCGUUGUAUUAGCUAGUAGGUGAGGUAACGGCUCACCUAGGCGACGAUACAUAGCCGACCUGAGAGGGGAUCGGCCACACUGGGACUAGGACAC
rnacentral:rRNA from 1 species